rnacentral:rRNA from 1 species
AUGAACGCUGGCGGCGUGCCUAACCCAUGCAAGUCGAACGGAGUCGUUUUGGAAAUCUCUUCGGAGAUGGAAUUCUCGACUUAGUGGCGGACGGGUGAGUAACGCGUGAGCAAUCUGCCUUUAAGAGGGGGAUAACAGUCGGAAACGGCUGCUAAUACCGCAUAAAGCAUUAAAUUCGCAUGUUUUUGAUGCCAAAGGAGCAAUCCGCUUUUAGAUGAGCUCGCGUCUGAUUAGCUAGUUGGCGGGGUAACGGCCCACCAAGGCGACGAUCAGUAGCCGGACUGAGAGGUUGAACGGCCACAUGGGGACUGAGACACGGCCCAGACUCCUACGGGAGGCAGCAGUGGGGAAUAUUGCGCAAUGGGGGAAACCCUGACGCAGCAACGCCGCGUGAUUGAAGAAGGCCUUCGGGUUGUAAAGAUCUUUAAUCAGGGACGAAACAAAUGACGGUACCUGAAGAAUAAGCGCCGGCUAACUACGUG